rnacentral:rRNA from 1 species
CUACGGGUGGCAGCAGUAAGGAAUAUUGCGCAAUGGAGGCAACUCUGACGCAGCCAUGCCGCGUGCAGGACUGAAGGCCUUAUGGGUCGUAAACUGCUUUUAUUUAGGAAUAAACUUUCGUACGUGUACGAGACUGAAGGUACUAAAUGAAUAAGCACCGGCUAACUCCGUGCCAGCAGCCGCGGUAAUACGGAGGGUGCAAACGUUAUCCGGAUUUAUUGGGUUUAAAGGGUGCGCAGGCGGACUAUUAAGUCAGAGGUGAAAUCCCGGAGCUCAACUUCGGAACUGCCUUUGAUACUGGUAGUCUGGAAUACGGUUGAAGUAGGCGGAAUGUAGCAUGUAGCGGUGAAAUGCAUAGAGAUGCUACAGAACACCGAUCGCGAAGGCAGCUUACUAAGCCGAUAUUGACGCUCAGGCACGAAAGCGUGGGGAGCGAACAGGAUUAGAUACCCCAGUAGUC